GUGGGGUUGCCCGAGCGGUCCAAGGGCGCAGCCUGCAAAGCUGUUGUUCGCCGGUUCGAAUCCGGCACCCCACUCCA
rnacentral:tRNA from 2 species